rnacentral:lncRNA from 10 species
GCCUGAGGAGGGCGGAGAGCUGGGGCGGGUCUCAGCAGCUGCUCCAAGCUUUUCUGCCAUUUGAAGCUUCUUCUGGGAGCCAGCUGUGACCAGAGGAAUAGCUCCAGCCAUCCGGUUAAAAGUUUAACAACCGGAACAGCUCCAGUCUGCAGCUCCCAGCGUGAUCGACGCAGAAGACAGGUGAUUUCUGCAUUUCCGACUGAGGUAACUGAUUCAUCUCACUGGGACUGGUUUGACAGUGGGUGCAGCCCACGGAUGGGGAGCUGAAGCAGGGCAGGGCGUCACCUCACCCUGGAAGUGCAAGGGGUCAGGGGAUUUCCCUUUCCUAGCCAAGGGAAGCCGUGACAGACUACCUGGAAAAAUGGGACACUCCUGCCCAAAUACUGCACUUUUCCCAAGAUCUUAGCCACCGGCAGACAAGGAGAUUCUCUCCCAUGCCUGGCUCGGCGGGUUCCACACCCACGGAGCCUUGCUCACUGCUAGUGCAGCAGUCUGAGAUCGAACUGUGAGGCGGCAGCCUGGCUGGGGGAGGGGCGUCCGCUGUUGCUGAGGCUUGAGUAGGUAAACAAAGCAGCCGGGAAGUUCGAACUGGGCAGAGCCCACUGCAGCUCAGUAAGGCCUACUGCCUCUAGACUCCAUCUCUGUGGCCAGGGCAUAGCUGAACAAAAGGCAGCAGACAACUUUUGCAGACUUAAAGGUCCCUGUCUGACAGCUCUGAAGAGAGCAUUGGUUCUCUCAGCACGGUGUUUGAGCUCUGAGAACGGACAGACUGCCUCCUUAAGUGGGUCCCUCACCCCCAUGUAGCCUAACUAGGAGAUACCUCCCAGGAGGGGCCGACAGACACCUCAUAUAGGCACCUGCCUCUCUGGGACGAAGCUUCCAGAGGAAGGAUCAGGAAGUAGUAUUUGCUGUUCUGCAAUAUUUGCUGUUCUGCAGCCUCCGCUGGUGAUACCCAGGAAAACAGGGUCUGGGGUGGACCUCCAGCAAACUCCAACCGACCUGCAGCUGAGGGACCUGACAGUUAGAAGGAAAACUGAAAAACAGAAAGGAAUAGCAUCAACAUCACCAAAAAGGUCAUCUACACCAAAACCCCAUCUGUAGGUCACCAACAUCAAAGACCAAAGGUAGAUAAAACCACAAAGAUGGGGAGAAACCAGAGCAGAAAAGCUGAAAAUUCUAAAAAUCAGAGUGCCUCUUCUCCUCCAAAGGAUCGCAACUCCUCGCCAGCAAAGAGACAAAGCUGGAUGGAGAAUGACUUUGACAAGUCGACAGAAGUAGGCUUCAGAAGGUUGGUAAAAACAAACUUCUCCGAGCUAAAGGAGGACGUUUGAACCCAUCGCAAGGAAGUAAAACCCUUGAAAAAAGAUUAGACGAAUGGCUAACUGGAAUAAACAGUGUAGAGAAUACCUUAAAUGACCUGAUGGAGCUGAAAACCACGGCACAAGAACUUCGUGACACAUGCACAACCUUCAAUAGCCGAUUCGAUCAAGUG